rnacentral:rRNA from 1 species
AAAGUGGAGCAAUCCAUGAGUAAAGUGGCGUACGGGUGAGUAACACGUGGAUAACCUGCCCUUUAGUGGGGAAUACCGAUGGGAAACCGUCGACAAUACCGCAUAAGCUCGAGAGAGGAAAGCAGUAAUGCGCUGAAGGAGGGGUCCGCGGUUGAUUAGCUAGUUGGUGAGGUAAUGGCUCACCAAGGCUGUGAUCGAUAGCCGGCCUGAGAGGGCACACGGCCACACUGGCACUGAAACACGGGCCAGACUCCUACGGGAGGCAGCAGUGGGGAAUCUUGCACAAUGGAGGAAACUCUGAUGCAGCGACGCCGCGUGAGCGAUGAAGCCCUUCGGGGUGUAAAGCUCUUUCGGCAGGGAAGAUUAUGACGGUACCUGCAGAAGCAGCUGCGGCUAACUACGUGCCAGCAGCCGCGGUAAUACGUAGGCAGCAAGCGUUGUUCGGAGUUACUGGGCGUAAAGGGUGCGUAGGCGGCCGCAAAAGUAUGGUGUGAAAUCUCCCGGCUUAACUGGGAGGGUGCGCUAUAAACUGCGCGGCUAGAGUGUGGGAGAGGAAAGUGGAAUUCCUGGUGUAGCGGUGAAAUGCGUAGAUAUCAGGAGGAACACCGGUGGUGUAAACGGCUUUCUGGACCAUAACUGACGCUGAGGCACGAAAGCGUGGGUAGCAAACAGGAUUAGAUACCCUGGUAGUCCACGCCCUAAACGAUGCAUAUUUGGUGUGGGCCAUUCAUUUGGUCCGUGCCGGAGCUAACGCGUUAAAUAUGCCGCCUGGGGAGUACAGUCGCAAGGCUGAAACUCAAAGGAAUUGAC